rnacentral:piRNA from 1 species
UGGACAAAUGGGAUUUGAGUGAAAGUGAC